GCUGGUUGUGUCUGGAGCACUGUGUAGCCUCUUCUAUGGGAAGUUACCAUAGGUCAGUGGGGCCUGAAUCUCUCCUGCUCCUUUGUUCUCUUUGGGCUUCACAGGAGAUGUCUGGUGAACUGCCCGUGGACUCUGUGCCCAGCACCACUCUGAAAUUAUUUGCUACCUUUGAAGAAACAGGGCACAGCUCACCCUGUUAGGUAGGCUGGAGACUCACACUUCACUCACACACACAACACUGAGGUGCUUUGGGAAGCAUAGUAACAAAGAAGAGAUUUAAGUGAUACUAAGCAAGAGAAAGAGACAAAUGUCAAACAGACAAACAAAGCAAAACACACUUUGUAGUGACUAAAACUGAAUCUUAAGAGUCACAAUCUUGGCCUUAGCAGUUUGCAGACCGACAUCUCAGCUUUCCUAACAGACCUUAUUUGAUGUCCCUGUACUGUACAAAAAUUCUCUGUCGAAUCCGGUGAUUUGAUUGCUUUGCCUUUCGGUUUCAGACCCUUUGUUCUCCUUCUGGGGUGCCUGGACCCUGAUUGUAACAUCUUUCUUCCAGUCUCUGUCCCAGCCUCUCACACAGAUGAAUGCUGCAGCCAGCCCAGCUCAGAGAGCAGUGGGGAGAGAUGAUCUCAUCCCGUCAAACCAAGCAACAUGGGUCCCAUUGUGGCUUAGAUGGAAGAUCCCGUGCAUCUCCUGGAGAGGAUGUGUCCGGGAUCCUGGAGACUGUUUUCUGCAGGAGGUUUGAGUGGGGAGAGGUCACUCACUGUCAUGACCCCUUGGUCAUUAACCCAGGUCUGCAGGGUUCAUGGGAGCAGCCACACUCCAGCAGGCCACCUGGAAGCCUCCUAAAAACUGCUUACCUAGGACUUACGAAGUCCAGAACCAGUUGGAGGCUCUAUCCCUAAGGCCUUAUUGGCAGAGUCCCAGAGCAGCUAAUCGGCCCCUGGGACCUCCUUAAACCAACAGCAGGAACAAGAAGCUGUGUGAACACCCGAGCUCCCCUGUCUUCUGGACCAUGUGUUAGCUGUUCCUGCUCCCACUGCCCAGGCUUGAUUUCCUGGCAUCCUGACUCGCUGUGACUCAUCUGAUUUGAGGUCAGCCAGUGAGGCCAGUUUGCAGAACGUGGAAGAGCUGUUUGGUGAUGAGUUGGAGGAUUCACCAUAUAGGUGGCAGCAGCUGCAGAUCCUGGAGUCCCUAUGGGAGUCUUUGGCUUUAGCUGCUUGGCCUGCCUGCCGAGACAGAGGACUCAGGUAUUUCCAUCAGGCUGCUCAGUUGCAAAUGCAGCCACCCAAAGAAGUGAAGAAUGGAAGUGAAAGAGCAAAGCUGGACCAUCCACUGAGCUGCUGCAAUCAAAUGAGCAGAGCCUGGGAGAGAAGAGGGAAAGCUCGAAGGUGGCUGGUGGCUGUAGGGAGCCAGGG